rnacentral:SRP_RNA from 1 species
UCCCAGCUACUCGGGAGGCUGAGGCUGGAGGAUCGCUUGAGCUCAGGAGUUCUGGGCUGCAGUGCGCUAUGCCGAUCGGGUGUCCGCACUAAGUUCGGCAUCAAUAUGGUGACCUCCCGGGAGCGGGGGACCACCAGGUUGCCUAAGGAGGGGUGAACCGGCCCAGGUCGGAAACGGAGCAGGUCAAAACUCCCGUGCUGAUCAGUAGUGGGAUCGCGCCUGUGAAUAGCCACUGUACUCCAGCCUGGGCAACAUAGCGAGACCCCGUCUCUU